CACGACGAGAUGCGGUCUGCUGCACAUCUACCGACCUACCUCGACCAGGAAGGAAGGUCUGGCCGGUGCUGACCCAUGUUGGUUCUGGAAGUUUGGUCCUCCGCUCCAGCGCGGAGGCGGCUUGUCAGGCUAACAGCUAAAGGAUGCAAUAAAUUAAUAUGUGCAGCAACCAUUGGUGUUGAAAUUCACCCAUUGGAUUUCACCAUGAGCCAUGGAAAGAAUCGCUUCUACUGGUGAGACACUUCUGUGCUGGGAAGGAGGAAGUUGGUGGCCUUAAGGAUGUACGCUAGCUGACUUACAAGAAUGUUCCUACUUGGCGCAGAGACUUGUGUAGGUUGUGUGAGAACAUCCCCAUUGUUCUCAGUGGUAACAAGGUUUAUGUGAAAAAGACACAGGUUGAAGCCAAACAAGUCACAUUGCAAGACGGAGAACCUGCAGUGCUACGAAAUCUCUCCCAAGAGCAACUACAACUUUGAGAAGCCCUUCCUUUACCGUGCAAUGGCUCCAAUAACGUCCAGAGAUUUUGGAGAAUUUGAGGAUUUGGAGUUUUGGAGGUGCCUCAAGUCAUCUUCCUCAACCUGGCGCACCUUGCACAUGUACAGCCACGGCCACAUACUCUCCCAGGGAGAAUAUAUUUACAAUGACAUGGGAAAAUGCAUGGGAUCUGUAUGAGGGCAUAUGAAACUUAUAGGUCCAGGAGUCACUCUCUUGUUGAUCCACAUGAGCUCAGGAGCCUGUGGCAGUGACCACCUGUAAGAAACAAGAAUUGGUGAGCUGCAAUAUGCCGGAAGGCAGUCCUUUCUCGUGAUUUUGCUGACAGAUGCUCGAAAGUGUUCUAUGCUGCAAGGCAUUCUCCUCUGAAAAUUGAGGAUCUAGUAGUCUGAACAGUAUGGAUGUUGAAUCUACACAUUUGGAAUGCAUGCUUGAGCCUCUGGUUCAUCUGCCUUGAAGGCAAAGCCUGCCGCCUGGAGAUGCAGCUCCAACCUGAUGCCAAACACCAUCCAGGAUCUCUGCCAUGUUGGUGAGGACAACUGCAGCCUCGCGCCAAGUGCGGUGUCUUGGCUCAAAUGGCGGACGAUUAGACUCGUGCAAAAAUAUAUCAAGGAGACCCUGAACGGAUCUUGGUGACAAUGUAGUUAUGAUCUAUCUGUCUUAAAUGGAGUACCUAAAUGGCCUGGUCUGCUGUCACCACCGACCUUAUCUACUACGGUAGCUGGCAGGCAGUGCAUGCAGGUGACUCCUUGGAAGACAAGGGACACUGUUUGGGCUACAAUAAAAGAGAAUCCUAGUAUGCAGCAUGUGAGACAAUCAUUACCUAGGUGCCCCAGUGGGAGCACUGCGUGCGGCCUGAGAUGAAGACCCUUGCACUCUGGGUUUACGGAGAGAGAUGUUGAUGCUGAUUGCAAUGAAGAGGUCCCGUCCUUGGCUUUGCUGCUUCAAAAUGUGAACUGGCCCUCUUGCUGGCUGGCUAUGCGGUGCGUUGAUGGUGGUGCUGCUGUUCCUGGAUUUGCUGAGGCCUCCCAUGCUCCUCAUGUAGC